GCACUUACCUGGCAGGGGAGAUACCAUGAUCACAAGGGUGGUUUCCCCAGGGCGAGGCUUAUCCUCUGCAGUCCAGAUGUGCUGACCCCUGCCAUUUCUCCAAAUGUGGAAAACUCAACUGCAUGAUUUAUGGUAGAUGGGGACUGCGUUCACACUUACCAAAA
ensembl:snRNA U1 U1 spliceosomal RNA